CCAGGUCUAGUUGUUUUGAGAACUUGAUCAAUAUAACAAACAACUCUGUCAUCAGAAACAUCCAUAAGUCUGAUGUCAAUAGCAGCAAAUGUUUGGUCUCUCUGUCCUGAUAGAAGACAAAACAAUGUUACAAGACGAAAGAUAUCAUGCCAGCUAGCAGUUGCAGAGACUUCUGUAGUGGGUGCACAGCUUGUGGACGGUUUGGCAGUAACAUUAGAUGCUUGCUGGAAGGAAUAACAAUUCGUUCAGAAAUCAACAUUCUAUUGUACAGAGAAUACCAGGGACUAUAUGGCCAAUUAGGAACAAUUAGAAGACCAGUUGCAUUGUCAGAACAAAUCUUUUGUAAAACAUUAGGAAUAAUUGCAAAUGGUGGAAAGGCAUAAAAUUUAAUGGUUGACCAGCUAAAUGUAAACGAAUCAAUUGCUGAAGCCUCUGGAUCUGGCCAAAACGAUGCAAAAGGCUUAAAUUGGCAAUUGAUUCUAGAGGCAAAUAAAUCAAUGUCUAAGGUAACAUUUAAUUUUUUGAUUACAAAUUUAAACACAGAUGGAUUUAACUGCCAUUCUGUUCGAAG